UCUCUCCUCUCGUCUCAAAUGAUUUUUAAGUGUACACUCGAAUGCUACAUGAAAAUCUAAAGUGAUAAACACACAUAAUUCCAUGCAUUGAUAUAUUUUUUUGCCUAGACACAUACACAUCGAAUCAUUUUAUUCUACACUGUUUCUAUUUUACAGUAAUAUUGUAUUAUGAUUUUUGCUCCAUUGAUAACAUGUCCGACUUGGUUACACUUCAACGUCAAUAAUAAUUAUUAUCAAUGACCAAUUCAAUGCGCAAAUUAUGAUGUUUCAACGGCGACACAUCCAAAAAACUUGAUUCGACACAUCAUAAAGAAAAAUAACCACACUAUCGUCACAAGGCUGUAUAUCAACGUGCAACCAAAGUCAUAAUAAUAAUAACAACAAGUACACAGCAGCAACGAAUCUUGAAACGUGAACUAUUAAAAAGGGAACAUGAAAUAAAAACAAACGGCAAUGCAAAUAAAUCGCAUUACAUUCGUGGAGUACACAUUUUGAUGCGAAAAAUAGCGGACUGUCUUGUUUUAUGCCUUCGCCUUCGUGUCCAAGCAUCUUGAGUUAAACAAAAAAAAAGGUGAAAAAGGCAAGUCUCUGGUUUCUUUGCCAAUUUCAAUAGUCUCGUAUGCAUUUGUUCAAAAGAACGAAGUGCGAGCCGCGUUCAUUCAAACUGAAUCACAAGCAUGCAGAAGUAAGAAAGAAACUCACACACACAAACAACAACAACAACUUUAUAGGUAAAACAAUCAGCAUGGCACCAAUAUUAAUAAUAGUAAUCAUCAUAAUAAAAACCGUACUUGCCAUGGUUACUAAAUGGCAAAAACCGCGCACAUUCUUUUACCCGGGAUCGGAUGACGUGAGGAUGCCCGUGUAAAGCCAAAACCAGCAUCCAAAGCGUGCAUUAAGUAAAAGGGAGAGAGGUGGGAAAGAAAAGCAGAAAGCAGCCACAUAAAAAAUGAACGCAUAAUGCUUUUUUUCUUCCAUUUUUCCAAAGUCUAUUUCAAUCGUGUAACAUUUUCUUCAACCAUUCUCAUUACCAAGAGAGAGAGAGAGAGAGAGAGAGAGAGAGAGAGAGCUGUGCAGAGCCAUCGUCUUAAUCUUUUGAUUUUUUUUUAUCCUGCUGCCAGCUUGUUUAUAUACAUUCACUCUAUCUUACACAUACACCGUUUUUUUAUUUCUCAUUUGGAAUGUUCCGUAUUUCUUUUUUUUUUCGUUUGUUCUUUAAGUCAAGGUUUUUUUUUAAGAAUCUAACUAUUCGGAGAUGGUCCAUGAAAAAGCAUCGCUUCGAUGGGACAAAACUAAUGGCUGCAUGACACUAAUGAAAAAUUGUUGCUUCACAUUACUAAAUUCGAAAUAAAAUAUAUAUUAAAAUAAAUUCAUCGUCAAUUGCUUCUUG